UACAGAGGUCUCGAGCGUUGUUCGGAUUCAUUGGGCGUAAAGGGUGCGUAGGUGGCGCUGUAAGUCGGGUGUGAAAUCCUGAGGCUUAACCUCGGAACUGCAUUCGAUACUGCGGCGCUUGAGGACUGGAGAGGAGACUGGAAUUCAUGGUGUAGCAGUGAAAUGCGUAGAGAUCAUGAGGAAGACCAGUGGCGAAGGCGGGUCUCUGGACAGUUCCUGACACUGAGGCACGAAGGCCAGAGGAGCAAACGGG
rnacentral:rRNA from 1 species